CAAUAGCGUAUAUUAACGUUGUUGCAGUUAAAAAGCUCGUAGUUGGAUUUCUGGAGGGAGCGUCGGCCCGUAUUUACGAGUGCGUGACGUCUCUGUCCAUCCUUGCGGGAAGGCACGGCAUUGAUUUGUUGUGUCGGAUCGCAUCAUUUACUGUGAAAAAAUUAGAGUGUUCAAAGCAGGCUUUCGCUUGAAUACAUUAGCAUGGAAUAAUAAGAUAGGACUUUGGUGCUAUUUUGUUGGUUGAGCCUAAAGUAAUGAUUAAUAGGGAUAGUUGGGGGCACCUGUAUUGCGUUGUCAGAGGUGAAAUUCUUGGAUUUACGAAAGACAAACAGCUGCGAANGNGUCUGCNAAGGAUGUUUNCAUUA
rnacentral:rRNA from 1 species